UACGAAGGGGGCUAGCGUUGCUCGGAAUCACUGGGCGUAAAGGUGCGUAGGCGGGUCUUUAAGUCAGGGGUGAAAUCCUGGAGCUCAACUCCAGAACUGCCUUUGAUACUGAGGAUCUUGAGUUCGGGAGAGGUGAGUGGAACUGCGAGUGUAGAGGUGAAAUUCGUAGAUAUUCGCAAGAACACCAGUGGCGAAGGCGGCUCACUGGCCCGAUACUGACGCUGAGGCACGAAAGCGUGGGGAGCA
rnacentral:rRNA from 1 species